rfam:Homo sapiens chromosome 5, GRCh38 reference primary assembly.
GCCGGGCAUGGUGGCCCAUGCCUGUAAUCCCAGCUACUUGGGAGGCUGAGGCAGGAGAAUUGCUUGAACCCGGGAGGCGGAGAUUGUGGUGAGCCGAGAUCACGCCAUUGUACUCCAGCCUGGGUAACAGAGCAAGACUCUGUCUCAA